rnacentral:lncRNA from 1 species
CGAGUUAAGCAACCAAAAUAAACUAUCUGUCAACACAAAUAAAAUAUGCAAAUCAAGAAAAGGAAAAUGACUCUAUUAGGCUCUGCUUGAUGUAUUAACAUUGAACUCUAGUAUAUGCUACUACAUCACAUGUUACAAAAGCUACAUAAUAAUCCAUCAUUUGUUUUGAACCACAUGUAAGAGUUAGGAUAUAACAAGAAGAGAUGCAUCACAGAGCCAGAAUAAUCCAUCAAAAGCUACUUCCCUGUACUUAGUACUGAU